UGGGGAAUAUUGCACAAUGGGCGCAAGCCUGAUGCAGCCAUGCCGCGUGUAUGAAGAAGGCCUUCGGGUUGUAAAGUACUUUCAGUCGGGAGGAAGGUGGUAAGGUUAAUAACCUUAUCAAUUGACGUUACCGACAGAAGAAGCACCGGCUAACUCCGUGCCAGCAGCCGCGGUAAUACGGAGGGUGCAAGCGUUAAUCGGAAUUACUGGGCGUAAAGCGCACGCAGGCGGUUGAUUGAGUCAGAUGUGAAAUCCCCGGGCUUAACCCGGGAAUUGCAUCUGAUACUGGUCAGCUAGAGUCUUGUAGAGGGGGGUAGAAUUCCAUGUGUAGCGGUGAAAUGCGUAGAGAUGUGGAGGAAUACCGGUGGCGAAGGCGGCCCCUGGACAAAGACUGACGCUCAGGUGCGAAAGCGUGGGGAGCAAACAGG
rnacentral:rRNA from 1 species